rnacentral:misc_RNA from 1 species
GAUGAAGAACGCAGCGAAAUGCGAUAAGUAAUGUGAAUUGCAGAAUUCAGUGAAUCAUCGAAUCUUUGAACGCACAUUGCGCCCGCCAGUAUUCUGGCGGGCAUGCCUGUCCGAGCGUCAUUUCAACCCUCGAACCCCUCCGGGGGGUCGGCGUUGGGGAUCGGCCCUCCCUUAGCGGGUGGCCGUCUCCGAAAUACAGUGGCGGUCUCGCCGCAGCCUCUCCUGCGCAGUAGUUUGCACACUCGCAUCGGGAGCGCGGCGCGUCCACAGCCGUUAAACACCCAACUUCUGAAAUGUUGACCUCGGAUCAGGUAGGAAUACCCGCUGAACUUAAGCAUAUCAAUAAGCGGAGGA